rnacentral:rRNA from 1 species
AUUGAACGCUUGCGGCAGGCCUAACACAUGCCAGUCGAGCGGAUGAAGGGAGCUUGCUCCUGGAUUCAGCGGCGGACGGGUGAGUAAUGCCUAGGAAUCUGCCUGGUAGUGGGGGAUAACGUCCGGAAACGGGCGCUAAUACCGCAUACGUCCUGAGGGAGAAAGUGGGGGAUCUUCGGACCUCACGCUAUCAGAUGAGCCUAGGUCGGAUUAGCUAGUUGGUGGGGUAAAGGCCUACCAAGGCGACGAUCCGUAACUGGUCUGAGAAGAUGAUCAGUCACACUGGAACUGAGACACGGUCCAGACUCCUACGGGAGGCAGCAGUGGGGAAUAUUGGACAAUGGGCGAAAGCCUGAUCCAGCCAUGCCGCGUGUGUGAAGAAGGUCUUCGGAUUGUAAAGCACUUUAAGUUGGGAGGAAGGGCAGUAAGUUAAUACCUUGCUGUUUUGACGUUACCAACAGAAUAAGCACCGGCUAACUUCGUG